rnacentral:rRNA from 1 species
CGAACGCUGGCGGCAGGCCUAAUACAUGCAAGUCGAACGGCUCUUCGGAGCAGUGGCGGGCGGGUGAGUAACGCGUGGGAAUGUGCCCUUUGGUACGGAACAACACAGGGAAACUUGUGCUAAUACCGUAUGUGCCCUUCGGGGGAAAGAUUUAUCGCCAUUGGGGCAGCCCGCGUUGGAUUAGGUAGUUGGUGAGGUAAAGGCUCACCAAGCCGACGAUCCAUAGCUGGUCUGAGAGGAUGAUCAGCCACACUGGGACUGAGACACGGCCCAGACUCCUACGGGAGGCAGCAGUAGGGAAUCUUGCGCAAUGGGCGAAAGCCUGACGCAGCCAUGCCGCGUGUAUGAUGAAGGUCUUAGGAUUGUAAAAUACUUUCACCGGGGAAGAUAAUGACGGUACCCGGAGAAGAAGCCCCGGCUAACUUCGUGCCAGCAGCCGCGGUAACAC